rnacentral:rRNA from 1 species
UACAGAGGGUGCAAGCGUUAAUCGGAUUUAUUGGGCGUAAAGAGCUCGUAGGCGGUUCGGUAAGUCGGGUGUGAAACCUCCAGGCUCAACCUGGAGACGCCACCUGAUACUGCUGUGACUCGAGUCCGGUAGGGGAGCGUGGAAUUCCUGGUGUAGCGGUGAAAUGCGCAGAUAUCAGGAGGAACACCAGCGGCGAAGGCGGCGCUCUGGGCCGGAACUGACGCUGAGGAGCGAAAGCGUGGGUAGCAAACAGG